UUAAAUUGAAGAGUUUGAUCAUGGCUCAGAUUGAACGCUGGCGGCAGGCCUAACACAUGCAAGUCGAGCGGUAGCACAGAGAGCUUGCUCUCGGGUGACGAGCGGCGGACGGGUGAGUAAUGUCUGGGAAACUGCCUGAUGGAGGGGGA
rnacentral:rRNA from 1 species